UGCUAAUAUCAGAAACCAUCUUCAUAUUUAAUUGAAAGUUGGGAGCCUCACAGACGCUUAUUCAGUAAGAGUAUUUCCGGUUUGAAGCUGUUAUGGCAUAUAAAUUUUCUUCCUCAGUUAUGUAAUGGUGUUUCUUCAAGGAAAUUAAGGUUUAUGUUUGUUAGAGAAGUUUGUAAAUGUCGCCUAUUAUAACCUACUUAGUAAUUUUACAAAAACAAAAAUGGCAUAGAAUGCACAGAAUUCGUGAAGGCAACCGGGAAAACACCUUCAAUAAUUAACUAAUAAAAUACAUAACAGGCUAAUUAGUUAUGAAC
rnacentral:lncRNA from 1 species